AUGCUCUGCGCCUGGGUUUCGUUCGGCGCUGAGUAGCGACCCGGGAUUGAGCUCUUCGUUGACAAUUGGAAGUGCUUUUAUCACUUUGGACCUAAUGGAUAAAGAAAGGAGCCAUAUGCCUCCAGAAGACUGCUCCCUUGGUCGUAAGAGAGAACAUCUGAAGGACCGUCUAAGGCUUCACGGGGGAGGACCUGAUUGCCAGAGUCGAUGAGGUUUGCCCUCCAGGUUUCGGGGAAUGGAUUCUACCAUGAUGAAGAGGU
rnacentral:lncRNA from 1 species